AGCUGCAGGUUGAAUAGUACCCCCUCCCCCAGAUUCACAUCCUCCAAGAACCAGAAUGCAAGAGCGUCUGCACAGACAUGGUUAAGUGAGAAUCUUGGGAUGGCAACACCCUAGAUGCAGGGAAUGCAUGCUCUGUCAUGUCUGACUCUUUGUGAGCCCAUGGACUGCAGCCUGCCAGGCUCCUCUUCUGUCCAUGCGAUUUCCCAGCAGCCCCAGGAAAUGAACAUCCCUGAAGACGAGGGAACAAAGACAGUGCUGCUGAGAUCCGAUCCUCUUCCCUGUGAGGGUCCCCUCGGCGAUGUCUCAGCUUCGCCCCUGCAUUCCUGACCCCCUCGGACAAGACUGUCUCCCAGUGGAUGACACAGGAAAGAGCUCCUCCUCCCUCCAUGACCGGUCAGUUCUCGUUGUCACCUCAUUGUCACCCAAACGUCUGAAGAUUUAACUCCGGGUCCUUGGCAACCAGCCCAGGCCACGCCCAGCAGGUGCCCCCGGCCUGAGCAAGGGUCGGUGCCCAGAGGCUCUGCCCUUCUGCAAGCCAGGACAGUUUCCCGGCCUGAGGUAAGGACAGAAAACUCGAAGUCCAGCUCUGCCCCAGAGAACCUUCCAGAUCACCCAGCAUCAGCCCCUCAGUCGUAACUUCCUGGGGGCUUUGACCCGGCCUCCCACGGCCGCCCUCCUCCCCACCCGGCGGGCAGCCUCCAGGAGCUUUGCAGUGAGGGUUUCGUUCUCUCUCUCUGUGGCUACUUACAGGUCUUUGGAAACGAGAGGCCCCUCAGAAGGGCCAGCUGUCCCUGGGACCGGGUGACUUCUCACGGCCGUCUGCGGGCAGUACCCACUCGGGGCUGAGCACCAGGUCAGCCCUGCGGCCAGAAUCCUGGCGGCUCCUUCUUUCAGGGCCUUUUCCUGUCGUAAAAGACAUUCCUGUUCAGUACAAACUUUGUUUCUUUUGUUUCCAGUGAUGUUCAAAGAACACAGUAAAAA
ensembl:lncRNA